GUGUAACGUUUCAGUUUUCGUCUCUGCUCCACAUUAAUCAAACCAUUAAUCUCCAUCACCUCGCUUAUCUCCUUCCGAACGGUCUCUCACUUUGAUUUCCUUAAAGCCCUAACUAGAAAUCCGACAAUAGAUCCACUCUACAAUCCUCCUUCCAUCGAAACCCUUUCCUGUGUUUGUGCUCAAUUCCAAGAUGGGAGGCGAAUGGUAUUCUUUGAAGCUUAUUCAGAUGAUGAAGCUUACGCUACGGCUCUUCAGGAAGUUGAAGAAAGUGAAAUGGCAGAUAGUAUGUCUUCAUGAUGUAUCCCUUUCUUUUUUACCUGGGUAUUGAGUAAAUAUUAUCUACUGAUUUUGUAGAAUUGAUUUCCCUGUCAUUUUUGUGUUGAUUUUUAGGCUAUGCUCAUGGUGAUUACUUCUAACUGAUUGAGUUCUCUAUGGUUUUUCUUUUUUUUGUAUGGAAAUAAGCGAAGACAUAUAUUAGCCUGCGAUUUGAGAAACCAGCAAAAGGUGCGGCUUCUCCACUGUACUUGAUCUGCUUUCAAUAUUGUAAUAGGGUAUGUGCAGGACAAGAGAAUCUAAUUUGGCUAUUAAUCUAUCUUGCAUGUUCAGUUAAUUUAUUAACUCCAUUUUUUUUUUUUUUUUUUUUUGGAUUUUAGAAACUGUAGUCCUUUUUUGCAGUUUGAUUUUUAUUUUAUUUUCUCUGUGGAGUUUGAUUCCUAUGAUGAGUUUUUGGUAGUCAAUGGGAUAUCCAAGCUCAUUCGUUCUACAUAUGUAGUAAAACGCAUCACUUUAUUCCGUUUGAUUUCUCCAUAAUUAUAUUUUUUUUUUUGUUUUUGGUGUUUAUUAACGGUAUUUUUGUUGUUGAAUUGACUAGAUUUUAGUUGUUCUUACGAGGUUCUGACUGCAUCCAAGAAAAAAACUCAAGUUUUCAGAUAAACUAACAUGUUUCUUUGUUAGUAUUUUGCUAUGACUUAUUUUCCAUCACAUGAUCUUAGUCGUUUUUUGUUUACGGUGAGCUGAUUGAUUCAUGACUAUCCUACUUUGGUUCACAUGAUCUUAGUCGUACACAGGUCGCGCACAAUAUACAUCGUUUACAUGACAUCUAGCUUACAUCUUCAGGUUUAGUUAACAGGCUUCCCUGAAGUACUAAGUCUGUGUGUGGUUAAGGAAAAUGUUCAUUCUCUGUGUUGUUGACUACUUCCUGCUAUUCUGAGAUAUCUAAUUUUAGGAACUGUGGCUCCAAUUUAAUAUAUACAACUUUAUUUAUCUUUGGUACAGAGCAGAGGAAGAAGCUUGGUAAAGGAAAACACUUUCUCUUAACCCUUAGUUUUCUCUGUAUCAAACUUUAAAAACAUUUUAUUAUGUGAUGAAUGUCAUGAUAAAAAUCUAUAACUUUGUGUAGUGGUAUUAAUUUUUAUUCAAUUUUCUCUACAUUUUUUGCUAUUUUCAUCUGUGGAAAGGUGGAAGCUAUAAGGUUGCAAAAUGACAUUUAAUUUUUAACAUCCGACUGUGACAGAAUCGCAUGCAUAAGUGUAUUCGACAACCUUGCGGAGCUCCGAUGAGGAAUUAGCAAUGUUUUAAAAACCGGACCGGAUACCGACUCGGCGUACUCACUGGUUCACUGGUCUGACCGGUUCAACCGGUCGAGCCGGGUUUUUUAUUUAUUAUAUAUAUAUAUAAUCAUCUAAUGAAUAAUAUCUAUAAAUAGUAUCAAAAAUAGAAAUAGAACAACUGAAUCUUGAAUACAUAAUGAACUAAAUGAAUACAUGACAAAUUAAAUUUAAAAAAAUCUGUUGAAGAAUGAUAAAAUAUCUCAAACUUAUUCAGUGGUAUCAUUUCAUCUUAAUGCCUCCACCUCCGCUCUCUUUCCGACAAAAGUCACAAAUCAAAUUUCUCUUUCCAUUCUGCUCAGUGCGUUCUGUUACAUGUCUCCAAGCUAUGUCAUCUUUUUGAUGUACUGAACGUUGAACAAAAGAAUAAUACAUUAAUAUUGUUAUAUCAAAUCUUGCGGUUAAAGAGAAUCAGUGAAUCAAACGAUAUUUACUUUUUCUUACAAUUGUGCAGUCCCAAAAUCUUAUAACCAUGGAAAAUUCAGAUGAUGAGAGGAUGGUGUACGAGAGACAAAGAGAAGAUGUUUGGGGUUUUUUUGGAGAAAUUAUUAAAAAAAGGACGGCUAUUAAGUAUUAUCAAGGAUUAGGCUAAUAUAAAACCCUAAUUAAAAUUUAAAAUGUACUAGAACCGGAUUUUAGUGUCGACCCGGGUUACUGGUUUCGCCGGUUCUGAACCGAUUUUUCUGGUUUUUAUCUAAUCCGGGUUUUGAACCGAACCGAACCGGACUCGGCUUACUUAACGAGUCACGGUCGAACCGGUCCGACCGGCCGGUCCGGUCCGGUUUUCAAAACCUUGGGAAUUAGUAAUGUCAGGUGUGGAACCAAAGGUCGCUGUAGCCACCAAUAUCAACCCUAAAUUAGUUGGAGAGUUAGUCACCACAAGGUUGGUCUCGGUAUGGUGGUGUUAAGAAGAUCGAAACGUUAACACUGUCUGAGCUAAAUGCUUAUAUCAUAUCGCCCCACAGGUGACCACUUUCACGUAACCCAUAUGUUAGUGCGUUUCUUGACCAACAAUUACUUUCACUUGCGUUGGUGCCAUAUCCAAAGCGUUCCUGAGAUAAAGUGCAAACGAGGAAAGAAAGCUUUCUUAUUACAUGGUAUCUCACCAGAAUCAAUCAAUUUGUUUCUACCGUGAGUAUCUCCAAAUACAGAAUGUAAUGUCUUUUUAAAAAAAAUUCAAACACAAAAAUAGUAAUCAGAUCGAUAUAGCUUCACAUCGAAGAAAUUCAGGACAUAGAUCAAAAUGUUGUCUCAGUUCAGACGCAUGCAUUUUGUUUCUUUAAUAAGGCAUUGCAACGAGGACAGCAAGAUGAUCGUUGUGUAUGAGUAUGGAAAAGGGAACGCUUAAGGACCAUCUGAACGCUGGAGACAAAAGCUUGAGAUAUGCGCUAAAGGGCUUCACUAUCUCCAUACAGGUUCCGCAAGAGCCACUAUACACUUUGUGUGAAGCCUGCUUCAGGUAAAUGUUUAGGACCAACUCUUCUUCUGUAGAACAUGUUGAAGGAGCUUUACUCUUUACACAAUGUAAUCAUCUCUCUACAGGCCAUUGAAGCUCUCGACCCGAACCACAAACUGGGUACUGGAACCACAAGAAUCAAACUCAAUCUGAAUAGAAAGAAACUUCAUAUCAUCAAACUGUUCCGUGAGUUUAACCAAAGGAAAAAUUUACAGAGCAAAUUUGAUGUAAUAAAAGCUCAAAGAGCAACUCUGAGACAACAAGAGUGAAUACCUUUUGGAUAGAUAGAGAAAAUUUCUUUCUUUCUUUCUUUUUUUGUUGUUGCAUUUAUUUAGAAUAUUUUGUUCUUUUAAUUCUCAGCAAAAUUUUCAGUAAACAAAUAACCUACUUUCGCUAAUGCCAUCUAAUAAUAAUACAAAACAAAUUCAAUCCUUUGUAUUGCUCAACGUGUAAACUAAAGAAUUUAACCUAAUUUGAGUGUUUUGAAAAACUGAGAUACAAGUUUAUUCUGUAACAACUUCUUUGGUUGGGGUUGUGUGGGGACCAUAUUAUCUCAUUUGUCGUGCUCUUGGCUGGAGGUCGGGAUAAUGCUUCUUUCUGGGAACACACACUACUUACGUCCAAGCGUUGCUGGAGGAAAAAAAAACCCCUCAUUGUCUAUCAUAUUCAGCCGGAGGACAUAUAUCUAAAGAAUAUGGCCAGACUCAAACCCCCCAGAAGUUGCGACCUCCAAAACAUAAAUCAUCUAUGCAUGAGAAAUUUGUUGAUUACAUUGCUAAUAGAUCCAAAUAAAAUAUGUCAUUGUUUCCUUUGCUUUUUAAAGACAAACCGGAUUUUACAUUUCUUCUAUCGUGAAUAAAAAAAAUCUUUAAUUUAUUUAUUCCUUUACUUUUAAAAUAAAUUAUUAUUUUCUUCUGUACUGACUCCUAAAAUUAAAGAAAUAAAUAAAAUCUUUAAUACAUACGUAAACCAAAAAACUGCAUCUAACCCAUAAGUAAAAAAAUUUAUCAUAUUCACUCAGCAAGAAUCAGAAACGCAUUGACAUGACAUCAUAAAAUCUACUAACAUGUACUCAUAAAAUCAAUAAUUAGUUCACAACCCUCAAAUUUAAAUUGACAAGAA